rnacentral:rRNA from 1 species
CCGACCGGCGCACGGGUGAGUAACACGUAUGCAAUCCACCUGUAACAGGGGGAGUAACCCGGAGAAAUCCGGACUAAUACCCCAUAAUAUGGGCUCUCCGCAUGAAGGGUCCAUUAAGGAGAGCAAUUUUGGUUACAGACGAGCAUGCGCUCCAUUAGCCAGUUGGCGGGGUAACGGCCCACCAAAGCGACGAUGGAUAGGGGUUCUGAGAGGAAGGUCCCCCACAUUGGAACUGAGACACGGUCCAA